rnacentral:lncRNA from 1 species
ACAGAUCAUAAACUCUGUUCUUUCCAUGUAGUAACUUAAUUAAUUAUAUACCUGACCACAAACAUAUAAUCACAGAUUAUAAAACUAGCUAUAAGCGGUGCCGGAGUACUAAAUUACAUUGUUGGAUGAUAUUAGAUGCACACCCAAGAACCUCAACACAGUCUGCAACAUAUAUGCAUGAUAUGGUCUCAGUAUAUAUUGUCAUAUAUAUAGCAUUAUUAUACUAUCAGCGAAUAUCAACAAUUAGAAAUAGCAUUGUCCAAAUCCCUUCAGCUAUUCUUAUAAUUAGAAACGAAAGAAACAAUACCUUAACUUUAAUUAAUACUAGCUGUUACAGAGUUAGAGCACAAACAAUUCGUCUUCCCAAUCGCUCUAUCUGGCCUAAUUAGGCGCCAGUAUGUUAAAUGACAUACCAAUGAAUCAAAAGUGACAUCCACAGCACAGAAAGAAAAAACAGACUGCUGAGACCAAAACAACAGAUUCAAAACCAGACGCGAUCUUGAACAAGAUACUAUCUACUAUCCGACUAUGAAAGCCUGAAGAAGAUGAUGAUGAUGACGACGACUUAGAAAACAACCCCCGUUUCUUCCACCACCCGAAUCGCCGCCACGAGCCACCAGCACUCUUCUUCCCGUUCCUCUUAAGAAAAUACAAAAAACAAAAACUGCCUUCUUUUCUACCACUAUUGCCACUACUGGUUUCCAUAAUGUACGUGCGUUUUGUUGUAGGUUUUGAGCGUUUGGUUGGAUGAGCGAAGAAAAGAAUGAAGUUGGGGAGGGACGUGUAUAAGUAAUGGGGUAUGUAACCGUAAAGAAGGUAAGUUGAUGGAGU